UGGAAAGCUUUAGAAAACCAGCGUGACCCAUCAAACAUUCACCUCCCACAAAAGGGUUGGCAAUGUGUGGGGGGGAGGGGUAUCUAAUGCUUUCCAGUUGUAGAAAGUUAAAGCAAAAAAUGGUGAGAAACAGACAGAGAGAAAGCGAGAAAGGCAGGGCAGGAGCUGUUGCUUUGCGAGCUAAUUACUCCAAUUUGAUGGCACAUUCAGUCAUUUGGCAUUCCUGUUCCGAAGCUGGUCUGCUGAGCUGGGCACAUUCGCUUUCCCUAUUUGUUUUGUGACUGCCAAGAUGGCAGUAGACGUUUCUCUGCUGAAUGCCUCUCCCACAGGACACGGAGCACUGAUAAAGUACAAAAACUGGAAAGACGCAUCUUGUUUGCAAUUUCCAUCAGUAACAACUCCAUAGUGAGAUUUCAGAUUUUUCAGCACACCUGGAGUUUCUUCAAGUUCACAGAAAGCUUCAUCUUGUCUGCUCAUGGCUCCUGUCUCCGGAUUUAAGUAUCCAAGAUUUGAUCGCCUUCAGAAUUACAUAUAUUGAUGGAGGAAUGCCAAACAACCAUUGAUGUGUACAUUCCACUUAUUCUCUGAUAUUGGUGUUCUAGAGAGUAGAAAACCAGGCUAUUGGGGAAUAGGCAAAGAAAGAAAACACAAGGCCUGGAUCGAAGAACAUGGAGAGAUACUGGAAGCAUGUUGAAAAUGCAAAUCAUACUUCCAUACAGACCACUGGAAGACCACCUCUAGUUUCAUAAUGUAUAGAACAAAUUACUGUACUUCCAUGCAGUCAAGAAAGCUAAUGAAAUCCACAGGAGCUACCAGAUUCUUGGCUAAGGACCCCAAUCACAUGUCAUGCUCAUUUUACAGAAGUCCUGAUUAUGUGAUUGUUUUUAAAGUAGCCGUUGUAACUUCAGUUGGAAUCCAUGAAUUAUAACAGCAUUGUGUCAUGCAUGGGCUAAAUUAAAAAAAACAACACUCUAAUUCCAUUUCAUUUAACUGAUACUGAAUCCAAACUUUCCCCCCCUGAAUUUGUGGGGCUAGCUGUAAAAAAAUCUGUCAAGUCUGCUAACAUUUAAUGUCUACUGAAAGCUGACUGUGUGAUUGAGGUCCUUAGCCAAGAAUCUGGCAGCUCUUGUAGAUUUAAUUAACUUUCUGUAUGGUUGGCCUACUUAACAUGCAGUCAUAUUCGAAAUGGACUCCAUACAUAAAUCAUAUGUUAUGUGUCACUGCCUCCUAAUGUGCAGCACAAAUAACUUCCAGCAUGAACCAAGAGACUCUUGCAUGAAUGUCUUACAGCGCAGAUGCCCAGUUUACAUGUGUUUCCCACUCAAAUACUACAUGUGUGACAAGGUGGACCUUUACAAUCAUACAGAGAUCUAGUUCACACUGGAGGAUAGGCACAUAGAAUGGCUCCUCUGCCAGUAUUGAAAUACUAUCCCCAGCUACAUAUAUGAACCAAGGUAUCAAGGUCAUAACAAGAGUGGUCUCUUGGACAGAUGAACUUUAUAUUGGAGCUAUGAAACAGUUAUCUAAAUAUAUUCUAUAGUCCAUUUCAGUGACAAUGCCAAACCACAUUUUCCGAUAACUCUGUUUUGUGAAACCAGGACACAGCUUUCCUUGACAGUCAAAUUCUGGUUUGUUUUGACAAAUGCUGGCUUCACUGCCUUUGCUCUAGCCAAGUAUCUCUAACUGGGGAGUGGUUGGGGGUGGCACUGGGAAACAAGGCAAAAAUGAGCCAGUAUGUCUGCCUUCAUACAUCACACAAAACCACAGCUAAGAGUAAUUGUGGUAAACAAGUCGACUUCAAACCAUGCUUGCACAGCCUGGUUUGGCAGAACCUCACUAGCCUUACUUUAGUAGAGUGGCUCACAUUUAGACAAUGAUUCCAACUCCAAAUCCAUGCCAUUUAUACUUAUUUGGGUAGCCUUGGCUAAAUUAGUGACUGCUCAAAUCUCAGCUCAUAAACUGUAUUAUUCUUUGCAUCAUCAGUAUCAAUCGCUAUUAAGUAUUAAAGUCACAACAGGAUCAUCCUUAUCAAUUGCUAUUAAGUAUUAAAGUCACAAUAGGAUCAAU